rnacentral:rRNA from 1 species
CAGAACUAACAGGAUCCCCAUAGUAAUGGCGAAUGAACAGGGAUGAGCUCAGCAUGGAAAUUGGGGCCUGUGGCUUUGACUUGUAAUCUUGUGAGGCAUUGCCAACAGAGGCGCAGAUGUAAGUCUCUUGGAAAAGAGCAUCAAUGAGGGUGAGAGUCCUGCUUGUCAUUUGCAGCCCCCCUGUGCACGGUGUGCCUUCUAAGAGUCACGUUCCUCGGGAUUGGAGCGCAAAGUGGGUGGUAACUUUCAUCUGAAGCUAAACAAUGGUUUGGGACCGAUAGGAAACAAGUACCAUGAGGGAAAGGUGAAAAGGACUUUGGAAAGAGAGUUAAAAGUGCCUGAAAUUGCUGAAGGGGAAGCGAAUGGAACCAGUGGUGCUGGGUGAGAUUGUCACAUGCUCCAGGGAUUGGUUGCUGCAUCAGCGCAAGCGAUCUGGCAAUUGUUGAACUGCACGUGUGUGGUGUGUCUUGCCUUGUGUGUCAUUGUGGGUUUAUGCAUUAAGACAAUUCAAAGUGCAUGGCAAUAUGUUUCUGAAUCUAUGAAUGUGAUUUGUUAUGUUUAUGCAUAAGCUUCUUGCUGUCUGUCUGGCUGCAGAGCUCGCCGUCCCCAUUUUUUGGAGAGAUGAGUUGAGCAUUUCCUUCUGCACAGAUCUUGGCUAAAUC